UACGAAGGGGGCUAGCGUUGUUCGGAUUUACUGGGCGUAAAGCGCUCGUAGGCUGGUCGAUCAGUCAGGGGGGAAAUCCCAGAGCUCAACUCUGGAACUGCCUUUGAUACUGUCGAUCUGGAGUAUGGAAGAGGUGAGUGGAAUUCCGAGUGUAGAGGUGAAAUUCGUAGAUAUUCGGAGGAACACCAGUGGCGAAGGCGGCUCACUGGUCCAUUACUGACGCUGAGGUGCGAAAGCGUGGGGAGCAAACAGG
rnacentral:rRNA from 1 species